GCUGGGCUUAGUGGCGUGCGCCUGGAGUCCCAGUUACUUGGGUGGCUGAGGCAGGAGAAUCACUUGAACCUGGGAGGUCGAGGCUGCAGUGAGCUGAGAUCAUGCCACUGCACUCCAGCCUGGGUGACAAAGUGAGACCCUGUCUCAA
rnacentral:SRP_RNA from 1 species